AUUGAACGCUGGCGGCGUGCUUAACACAUGCAAGUCGAUCGGUAACAGGUGUAGCAAUACAUGCUGACGAGAGGCGGACGGGUGAGGAAUAUUUGGGAAUCUGCCCAUCAGCGGGGGACAACCCGGGGAAACUCGGGCUAAUACCGCAUACGCUCUACGGAGGAAAGCCGGGGACCGCAAGGCCUGGCACUGAUGGAUGAGCCCAAAUCGGAUUAGCUAGUUGGCGGGGUAACGGCCCACCAAGGCGACGAUCCGUAGCUGGUCUGAGAGGACGACCAGCCACACUGGGACUGCGACACGGCCCAGACUCCUACGGGAGGCAGCAGUGGGGAAUUUUGGACAAUGGGCGCAAGCCUGAUCCAGCCAUGCCGCGUGCAGGAUGAAGGCCUUCGGGUUGUAAACCGCUUUUGUACGGAACGAAAAGGUUUGGCCUAAUACGCUGAACUCAUGACGGUACCGUAAGAAUAAGCACCGGCUAACUACGUGCCAGCAGCCGCAGUAACAC
rnacentral:rRNA from 1 species